AUGGUGAAGCAUGUGCAGGACGAGGAGAACCAGAGGCUGCUCCUCGACGACCACAAGGAGAAGCACUUCACCUCCGGCGAGGUGGUCCGGGACAUCAUCAUCGGCGUCUCCGACGGCCUCACCGUGCCCUUCGCCCUCGCCGCCGGCCUGUCCGGCGCCAACGCGUCCUCCUCGCUCGUGCUCACCGCCGGGCUCGCCGAGGUCGCCGCCGGCGCCAUUUCCAUGGGGCUCGGAGGGUACCUCGCCGCUAAGAGCGACGCCGACCACUACUACCGGGAGCUGCAGCGCGAGCAGGACGAGAUCGACACCGUCCCGGACACAGAGGCCGCAGAGAUCGGAGACAUACUCUCUGAGUACGGGCUGGGCCCCGAGGAGUACGGGCCGGUCGUCACCUCCCUCCGCAACAACCCAAAGGCCUGGCUCGAGUUCAUGAUGAAGUUCGAACUGGGGCUGGAGAAGCCGGACCCGCGGCGCGCGCUGACGAGCGCGGCGACGAUCGCACUGGCCUACGUCGUCGGCGGCAUGGUGCCGCUCUCCCCCUACAUGUUCGUGGCGUCGGUCGACAGCGCCAUGAUGACCUCCGUCGUGGUCACCCUCGCCGCGCUGCUCUUCUUCGGCUACGUCAAGGGCCGCUUCACCGGGAACCGCCCGUUCCUCAGCGCCAUCCAGACCGCCAUCAUCGGUGCGCUCGCCUCCUCCGCCGCCUACGGCAUGGCCAAGGCCGUGCAGGCCAUCUGA
rnacentral:rRNA from 1 species